rnacentral:misc_RNA from 1 species
AACGCACAUUGCGCCCUCUGGUAUUCCGGGGGGCAUGCCUGUUCGAGCGUCAUUACACCACUCAAGCCUCGCUUGGUAUUGGAGGGUCUGCGGCUUUCACAAGUCUCGCACCUCUUGAAUUCUUCCGGCUGGUGUUUACUCUUACCCUUUGCGUUGUGGAAACAUUUCUCGCUUGUGGGUUGGGUGGACAUCUUUGGCCGUUAAAAAGACCAAUUUUCUAAAGGUUGACCUCGGAUCAGGUAGGGAUACCCGCUGAACUUAA